rnacentral:rRNA from 1 species
CAGCCGCCGCGGGAAUACGAAGGGUGCAAGCGUUACUCGGAAUUACUGGGCGUAAGGCGUGCGUAGGUGGUGGUUUAAGUCCGUUGUGAAAGCCCUGGGCUCAACCUGGGAAUUGCAGUGGAUACUGGGUCACUAGAGUGUGGUAGAGGAUAGUGGAAUUUCCUGUGUAGCGGUGAAAUGCGUAGAUAUAGGAAGGAACACCAGUGGCGAAGGCGGCAACCUGGCUCAUUACUGACGCUGAGGCGCGAAAGCGUGGGGAGCAAACAGGAUUAGAUACCCCAGUAGUCCCUGUCUCUUAUAC